UGGCUUUUGGCAGCUCGUCAGGUCCGGGUGUUGAGCAGAAACCCUCUCAAGCCUCACACCUCAUUGUGUGAAACUGUUUACGGAUUGCCUUUUUCUGCAAAUAUUACAAGCAGGGCACUCCAAGGAGAGGGAGCAAAGUUUGCCCGCCCAAGAACUCUGACCUUCAACAGGAAAGGACAGGUAGACUCCGUCAGUACGGGUGAACCGGCCGACAAUCACGUCAAAAUUCGGAGAAGACUUGGUGAUUCUAGGUGCGUUGACUGGGUGGCGGCUGCUGAAAUGACUUCCCCGGGGAAGAACUAGGAUGGGACUUUUUAAAGAAGAAGGAGCCUGAAAAUUCAACUAGUCAAUCAUGUUUAUGUGCAGAGCAAUAUACUAAACACUCGAGGGAGCAGAUUAUAAACUAUAUAACAGAGUUAGUAGACAGGCUCCCUGCCCUCAGUGAGCUUGCAGUCUAGAGGGGGGAUGUAAGCUAGACUCACUGUGGGACUGUAUUUACUGUUCUACAGUACCCUCUAAGUGCUUAGUACAGUGUUCUGCGUACAGUAAGCGCU
rnacentral:lncRNA from 1 species